rnacentral:lncRNA from 1 species
AUGCAUAUUACAGUACUUGCUUCAAGCAUUCACUUGCCUUUUGCAUAAAUUCAUCUCUUCUUUGCUUCAAAGCCAUACCCAAAUUUUAUAUUCUUGCAUAUGUGUGCGUGUCAUUUGAUAAGUUUUUGCCAUCUGCAUCAGAAAACACCUAAUGCAUUUAUGAGUAGAGAGUAUGUUUACCAAUCUUGUGAUUAUAAACUUUUAUAAUUUAGAUUGUAGUUGAGAGAGACGAGGUAGAAAGAAUUUUGAAGCCAUUUGUUUUAGUACAUUUAUUAGUUUCCAGUUUUCAAAGAUUUGGUGAGAAUCAAGAACUGUCCAUGUGGCGGUGGUUCGGGUGGUUGUGCAUAGUGGCGACGGUGACUGGCAGCGUUAGUGGUGGUAGCGUGACUUACGAUGGCAGGUCUCUGAUCAUCGAUGGCCGGCGACAACUCUUGUUUUCUGGUUCAAUUCAUUAUCC